rnacentral:sRNA from 1 species
UGAAAGUGCCACGUAAUUCCCUGUUGA